AUUUCCCCAGAUUUUCCGUCGUAGUGUCCGUUUGGACAGGGAACCUUGACAGAGUGAUGGUUUCAACCAUCCACGCAGUAAAGCUACACCUGGGUGCGUUUGAUGUCAUGU
rnacentral:sRNA from 18 species